GAAGAUUGUGCGGGAGCUGGAGAGGGAAAACAGGGACCUCAGGGAGGCCAAUGCCGCCCUCCGUGACGCAGCAGGAGAGGGGACCAGCGGCACUCAGAGGCCAGCUCCCGCCCCUCGGACAGGACACAGCUCCAAGUCUGCAGAGGUGAUUGACAGCAGAAGCAGCAGAAGCAGCAGCAGCAGCAGCGAUGAGGAGGAGGAGGAGGCUCCUCCUGUAGCUCCUUUGGUUAG